rnacentral:rRNA from 1 species
CCUUUUGUAUAAUGGGUCAGCGACUUAUAUUCUGUAGCAAGGUUAACCGAAUAGGGGAGCCGAAGGGAAACCGAGUCUUAACUGGGCGUUAAGUUGCAGGGUAUAGACCCGAAACCCGGUGAUCUAGCCAUGGGCAGGUUGAAGGUUGGGUAACACUAACUGGAGGACCGAACCGACUAAUGUUGAAAAAUUAGCGGAUGACUUGUGGCUGGGGGUGAAAGGCCAAUCAAACCGGGAGAUAGCUGGUUCUCCCCGAAAGCUAUUUAGGUAGCGCCUCGUGAACUCAUCUCGGGGGGUAGAGCACUGUUUCGGCAAGGGGGUCAUCCCGACUUACCAACCCGAUGCAAACUGCGAAUACCGGAGAAUGUUAUCACGGGAGACACACGGCGGG